GACGAACGCUGGCGGCGUGCUUAACACAUGCAAGUCGAACGAUGAAGCCGGAGCUUGCUCCGGUGGAUUAGUGGCGAACGGGUGAGUAACACGUGAGCAAUCUGCCCUUGACUCUGGGAUAACUGCGGGAAACUGUAGCUAAUACCGGGUACGACACCUUGGGGCAUCCCAGGGUGUGGAAAGAAUUUCGGUCAAGGAUGAGCUCGCGGCCUAUCAGCUAGUUGGUGAGGUAAUGGCUCACCAAGGCGACGACGGGUAGCCGGCCUGAGAGGGUGACCGGCCACACUGGAACUGAGACACGGUCCAGACUCCUACGGGAGGCAGCAGUGGGGAAUAUUGCACAAUGGGCGAAAGCCUGAUGCAGCAACGCCGCGUGAGGGAUGAAGGCCUUCGGGUUGUAAACCUCUUUUAGUAGGGAAGAAGCGAAAGUGACGGUACCUGCAGAAAAAGCACCGGCUAACUACGUGCCAGCCGCCGCAGUAA
rnacentral:rRNA from 1 species